rnacentral:lncRNA from 1 species
AAAUCAUCUCCAUGUCCAUAAAAAUGGCAUACUAAGUACAUAUAGGUCAAUGUAAACCGUCAUUUCAUAGUUAACCGUUUAUUGUUCAACUUCUCAUCACAUUUUAUGUCCCACAACUUGUCAAAAUUAAGAUAAUCUUAACAUGUGUGCGUAUCUACAUUUUGUGUUAACAUCCAAUGACGAUGACGAUACAGAAGACACCAAUGUGAUAUUCACACCAUGGUCAAAGAGACGAAAAACGACGAAAAGACAAGCAACAGUAUACAGUAUACAGGACACUACACAGAAAGCAUAAAACGGACCAACUAAUUCAAAAGAUAUCAACACGAUUUAUAUG